GCUCAGGACGAACGCUGGCGGCGUGCCUAAUACAUGCAAGUAGAACGCUGAGGACUGGUGCUUGCACUGGUCUAAGGAGUUGCGAACGGGUGAGUAACGCGUAGGUAACCUACCUCAUAGCGGGGGAUAACUAUUGGAAACGAUAGCUAAUACCGCAUGACAAUAGGGUACACAUGUACCCUAUUUAAAAGGGGCAACUGCUUCACUAUGAGAUGGACCUGCGUUGUAUUAGCUAGUUGGUAAGGUAACGGCUUACCAAGGCGACGAUACAUAGCCGACCUGAGAGGGUGAUCGGCCACACUGGGACUGAGACACGGCCCAGACUCCUACGGGAGGCAGCAGUAGGGAAUCUUCGGCAAUGGGGGGAACCCUGACCGAGCAACGCCGCGUGAGUGAAGAAGGUUUUCGGAUCGUAAAGCUCUGUUGUUAGAGAAGAACGGUAAUGGGAGUGGAAA
rnacentral:rRNA from 1 species